UGGGGGGUAACGUAGCGAAAGUUACGCUAAUACCGCAUAUUCUGUGAGCAGGAAAGCAGGGGAUCGCAAGACCUUGCGCUCUUUGAGCGGCCGAUGUCAGAUUAGCUAGUUGGUGAGGUAACGGCUUACCAAGGCGACGAUCUGUAGCGGGUCUGAGACGGAUGAUCCGCCACACUGGAACUGAGACACGGUCCAGACUCCUACGGGAGGCAGCAGUGGGGAAUUUUUGGACAAUGGGGGCAACCCUGAUCCAGCCAUGCCGCGUGAGUGAAGAAGGCCUUCGGGUUGUAAAGCUCUUUCGGCCGGGAAGAAAUCGCAUGGGUUAAUACCCUGUGUGGAUGACGGUACCGGCAUAAGAAGCACCGGCUAACUACGUG
rnacentral:rRNA from 1 species